UACGGAGGGUGCGAGCGUUGUCCGGAAUCACUGGGCGUAAAGGGCGCGUAGGCGGCCUGGUAAGUAGGGGGUGAAAUCCUGCGGCUUAACCGCAGGGCUGCCUUCUAAACUGUCAGGUUCGAGCACAGUAGAGGCAGGUGGAAUUCCCGGUGUAGCGGUGGAAUGCGUAGAGAUCGGGAAGAACAUCAGUGGCGAAGGCGGCCUGCUGGGCUGUUGCUGACGCUGAGGCGCGACAGCGUGGGGAGCAAACAGG
rnacentral:rRNA from 1 species